rnacentral:rRNA from 1 species
UACGGAGGGGGCAAGCGUUAUUCGGAAUUAUUGGGCGUAAAGGGCGCGUAGGCGGCUAGAUGUGUCAAAGGUGAAAUCCCUCGGCUCAACUGAGGAACUGCCUUUGAAACUGUCUGGCUUGAGGCCGGGAGAGGGUAGCGGAAUUCCCAGUGUAGAGGUGAAAUUCGUAGAUAUCGGGAGGAACACCAGUGGCGAAGGCGGCGAUCUGGGUCGAUACUGACGCUGAGGUGCGAAAGCGUGGGGAGCAAACAGG